GAUGAAGAACGUAGCGAAAUGCGAUACGUAAUGUAAAUUGCAGAAUUCAGUGAAUCAUCGAGUCUUUGAACGCACAUUGCGCCCCCUGGUAUUCCGGGGGGCAUGCCUGUCCGAGCGUCAUUGCUGCCCUCAAGCACGGCUUGUGUGUUGGGCCUCCGUCCUCCUCCCGGGGGACGGGCCCGAAAGGCAGCGGCGGCACCGCGUCCGGUCCUCGAGCGUAUGGGGCUUCGUCACCCGCUCUUGUAGGCCCGGCCGGCGCUUGCCGACACAUCAAUCUUUUUUCCAGGUUGACCUCGGAUCAGGUAGGGAUACCCGCUGAACUUAAGCAUAUCAAUAAGCGGAGGA
rnacentral:misc_RNA from 1 species